GCAUAUUCUUGCAUAAGAUACUAACUCUAUGCUAUAUAUUUAUAUUAUUCUGGCUGGUAAUAUGGAAAUUGAAAAGUGAAUAAUUACCAUCAAUUCCGAGGUUAAAAUCACAUGCAUUCGGAAAACCUUCCUGCAUAUAGAUAAUACACAACUUGACUUUGACCAGACUAGAUUUUUGUAACUUUAUGCUUAUAAUGAGCAAAAAUAAAAAUAAACAGUGACAUUUUAAUAUUUAGGUAUAAUAUUAAGAAAAUGUCUCGCAUUUGAUUUGAUAUAAUCAUGGAAUUAUCAUACUAUAUUUUACUUCCAUGUACUAUUCUUAGACUAUUGAAAGCUAUUUGCUAACUAUUAAUCAGUCUUUUAAAUAAAUUGCUUUUCCUACAUUUUGCUGUUAGAUUAACUGCUUCUACACUGGUGCUAAAAUUUGAGAACCAAUUGAAAUGUAUAUAUAUUAUAUGUUUAUAUUGGUACAUCAUGUGUUACUCCAAAAAAAACCUCUUCUUUUUUUCUGCAUCUCGUAAAGACUGACUAAAUAAAAGGUUUAUAUAAAGAGCUGUAUAAUAGAUAGUUUCAAAUCUUGAGAACUACUUCAAUUUCCUAGACCAUGUCUAGCAUUUUAAAUAAAUCCUGCAUCCACAAUGCUUUAAAUCUUAUUUAUUUAUUUUUUUUUUUUUUUUUUUUUUUUUUUUUACAAGAUCUAAAUUAAUGAUAAUCUUGUUUCUAUAAAUCAGCAUAUUUGAGUCCUCUAUACUUCAGAAUUCUGAAUCAAUAUUUAACUCUAGGAAAAACAAUGUGUAGCCAUUGCAUAAACUGUUGGGUUCUACCAAUCUCACAUUAAGAAUAAAACAGACCCAAUGAAUGAAUCCUUAUAGCAGAAACUUGCCCAUCUGUUGGCAUUGCUUAGAAAACUUAAGAUGUAAAUUAAGGCAUAAUUUUCUAUCUUAAAAAGAGCAUCCAAACUCCUUUUGCUUUCAUGAUUGGAAGAUAUAUGUAUAAUUUGACAGUGAUUCCCAUAUAGUGAGGGUAAGAUAGUCUCUUAAGUCUUACGUUAUCACCUCUUUUUUUGUUACUCAAAACAAAACAGAAUUAGUACAUAUUAUAUUUAAUAAAUGCAUUGGCAAUGUACACUCUGAAUUAUGUAAUCAAUAUAUAAGCCAUUACCUUGAAUGAGUCUUUGUGAAAUGCAUCAUGGCAUCCCCUAAACUCUUUAUUCAAUAGACAAUCUAAUGUUUACAUAAAAACAUAUAAAAGCCUUUGUUUCCUUACUGCCGACAAAAACAAACAAUUGGUUAUAGCAGUUCAUACUUAUAAUAUUCAUGUUCUUCUUGUCAUAAGUAAACUGACCAUGAAAUUUAAUAUUAGUAAAAAGAGUUGUCACAAGCUAUCAACUGUAUUUAGAACAGUGCUCCAUUCUUACUGUCUCCAUGUCUG
rnacentral:lncRNA from 1 species